AGGGCUGGAAGGGAAGGUAUGUCCUCCAGGCAUCACUCGAGAGUGUCUUUUCCCCUUGCCGACAGCUUAGCUCUGGUUUUGAUUCGAUUACGAGCCGGGUGGUGCCCAGACCUCCCAGGGCAGCCCCCACCAUGGCUCACCUGGCCGGGAAGCGCGUGCGGCGCUUGCUCCUUUUGCGGAAGAGCUUGCUUUCUGGUUCUCAGUAAUGCCCACCGGCGGCUCAGGGCUCGGCUGGCUCAGCCCUGCUGCCUGCAGCCCCUUGAUCUGUCCUUGGCUGCAGAGGGCGAAGCAGUGCCGACGAGACAGGAAUGAGCCAGGCUUCAUUAUCUCCCGCCGGCGCUGCGAGGUUUGUCUUGCUGGUUCAGCUCGGAAAGAACUCCCAGGCUUUCUCUGUGUAUUUGCUCCCCUGCCUGCAAGUCUUUUCCAGCUGUUUAUCCUGUGCAUGAGAGAAAUAAUGUGUAUUUUUCUUCAUUACUGUGCCUGCUACCGAAGUGACUCAUUUACAAAUUCAUCUUGGCAUCUGUUACGAUUUUUUUACCUGGGCCCCAAGGGCAAAGCUUCUUACCUGGCUGGCUUCAAAUCAUCGUGCAUAAGUGUCUUCUCUCCCCCCUCCCAGGUUUCCACAGCAGGCAGGAGCAGCUGGGAAUUGGUGGGCCCUCGUUUCCACACCAGAUCAAACAGUCGGAAGAUCUGGCAGCUGGAGAUGCCUGAAGGCAGGUGUGCCCACCUGGCCAGAGCCGGGCCCCACCUUGCGUGCCCCCAGCUCCGCAGCCCCAUGGAGCCCCUCAACUGGGGGCAGAUCCACUUGGCAUUUGGAGCCCAGCGGGCCACAACAGAGAGUUGGAUCAGAAGAGGAGCCGACGGGACUCGAACCGGUGCCCGUAUGGGAUGCUGGCACUGCAGGUGAACCACCGGGAAACUUAACGGGAAGAACAAUGCCUGAUAUACAUAGCGAGCAUUCAGUAAGUGCGCAGCAGAUGACAGAAGCGCACGCUGACUUGGCAUUUUGGGUCGUGAUGCGUGUUAAUCUGCUCUCCAGGAAGCUGCAUAGCUACCGUUUGCGGUCCUCUGAGGCCUUGCCAGCUAAGUCUUCACCAGGCACCCCCCCGGCCCCAUGUCAGGUCAUGACCGCCUGGCUGCCCAUCCACACUUGGAAUUGGCAGUGAUGUAUGGCUGUGUUUUCCCCCAUGCCAUGUGAGUGGAAGCAUGCAUCCGUCUGUUCCAGCUACCAUAACAAAGUCUCACAGGCUGAGUGUGCUACACCGGAGAAAUGGAUUUGCUCAUAGUUCUGGAGGCUGGAAAUCAGAUGAAAGUGUGGACAUUAUUGGGUCCUGCAGAGGCUGUUUGGCUUGUAGGCCAUCACCUCCUCCCAGCUUCCUCACAGGGUCAUUCCUCUGGGUGUGCCUGCAUCGUAAUCUCUUCUUUUUAUCUUUCAAAGACUUCUUUUUGUUUGAAAUGCAAAGUGGAGCCUGCACUGUGGAGCAGUGGGCUAAGCCUCUGCUUGCCAGGCUAGAAUCCCAUAUGGACGCUGGUUCGAGUCCUGGAUGCUCCUCUUCCCAUCCAGCUCUCUGCUAAUGGCCUGGGAAAGCAGGGGAGGAUGACCCAAGUCCUUGGGCCCCUGAACCCCCAUGGGAGACCCAGGAGAAGCUCCUGGCUCCUGGCUUUGGAUCAGCUCAGCUCCGGCCAUUGCGGGCGUUUGGGGAGUGGACCAGCGGAUGAAGGACUCUCUCUCUCUCUCUCCUCUGUCUAUAACUCUACCUCUCAAAUAAAUAAAUAAAAUCUUGAAAACAAAAAAAGAAAUGCAAAGUGACAGAGGGAGAGAUAAAGAGAGGACGAGAGAGAUCUUGCAUCCAUUGGUUCACUCCCCAAAUAUUUACAAUGGCCGGGACCAAGCCAGGAGCCAGGAACUCCAUCCAGGUCUCCCACUUGGGUCGCAGGGUCCUAAGUUCUUGGGCCAUCUUCUGCUGCUGUCCCAGGCACAUUCGCAGGGCUAAUCUCCCCUUCUGGGAACAGCAAUCAUGUUGACUACAGCCUGCCCUAAGGGUCUGUUUUUACACUGAUUACCUAAUGCCACAUAGGAUCACACUCUAAGGUACUAGGUAGGGCACAGGACUUCAACACAUGAAUUUCGAGGGGACACAGUUGGCUGUGUGCAAUUCCAUGUGCCUUCCUAGGAGGACAUUUCCUGCCCUGGACUCCACCGUGGCCCCCCAUAGGCUGGAACAACAUAGACUGGGGCGGGCUUGUCAGCCUCAAGGUUAACAGCAUCGGCUCCCUCCGACGGCCCCAGAGCGGCUGCAUAAGCCGCACUGUCCACCGGCGGGGAGCCCCGGCCUCUGCCCACUGCACGAGCGAGAAGUCCCUUCUUUGUUCUUUGACCCACAUUUCCACUGGAGUCUCUUGUUAGAGUGCCUCCUCCCAGCCUAAGGUGCAGAUGGAAUGGGGGAGAAUGUUAACUGGGGAAAUGCAGCCCAGGGUAACUGAAUUCAUUUCCUGUUCCUCUCUGUGUAUGUUAGGCAAGGUGGAUGAUAAUGUAAAGGCAAUGAUGCCCUCAAACCAUCUCUGUCUCCAGUGGAUCCUGGAAAUAAAUUGAACUGGCAGGAGGAGACGAGACAAAAGGAGGCAUUUGACAGGAGCAAUUGCAGAAAUAGCCUGAGCUUCCAAGACAUGAGCUUGAGAUGAAGUUCUAUUUUCUCGUUUUCCAUUUAUCGUUAUUCUAAAAUAUUUUGGUAUGGAAAAUAUUAUGUAACAGGUAGGUUAUAAAACACAUUCACCUAAUGAGCCCCAGGUACCAGCUUCUUAACUAAGAACGGAAAUGCUACCUGUCGCGUGCUUGCUCGUCUGUGCCUAUGAAUGCCAGGCCUGUGGGGGAGAGUCAUUGGGUUAGCCGGCCAUGUGGAUUAGGGAGGACUUGGGCCUGAAAGACCACCCGUUAAGCUGUAGCAAGAAAACCUUAGGAUGAGUGGUGUAGUGAUUGAAAACGCUCAGCUACGGCUUGGGGGCGUGGUGGUGUGGAAUGGUGGGAGUGCACUGUGGCUUUAGAAUAAGAAGUUUGUACAUUUUUGUUUAUGAACUUUUGGCUUCUAGAAAAGUCUAUUUAUUGAGCCCGAAUCACUUCUUCAAUGCAUUUCUGCUGUUUUCCUGCGCAGCUGUGGGAUUUUUUUUUUCUUUAGAGGUUUAUAAAAGGCCCUUGUUUGCGAAUCUACUGCUACUGAUGUUAAUGAUGAUCAUUCUAAAUUUCAGAGUUGCAAAAGCACAAGUAACUCAUCGCAGUCUUUAAGAAUGAAUAUCAGCGCACAGGACAGGAGAACCACAGACGUGGCUUACUGUCUCCAUGCACCGCAUAACGUGUGCAAGUGCUUUGCAGUUUACAAAACACGUUCAAAACCACUGCCCGAGCUGACCUUCCUGAUAAGUUGUGGGAGUAUUUUUUGCUCCCCUCGUUUUACAGCCUAAGCUCUGUGAAGUCAUGGGAG